CCAGGAGAGAAACCUCUGUGCUGCUUUAAAGUAAGAAGUGCUGGUGAGGAGCCGUAGAUACAUCCACAGUGUGUUUAAAGUGUCCCAGCCUCGUCCUGGCUGAGAGGGGGUUUCCAUGACCCUUUGGUACAGGGUGGUCACUGGUAAGACUGAAUAGGCAGCAACCUAAGAAGCAACAACAGCAAUCUGUGGCUUCCUAUUGGACCCACUCUUGCAGGAGUCAUACCCAGCAUUGUGGAGUGAGCAGGAUCUUGGAGGGGUUCUUAGAGAGAAGCGGACAGAGGGAAGGACAAAGAGCUGGUGUUUGUAACACAUUUACUUGAGCUGAACCUCUGGGAGAGAUGAGACAAGCAAAACCCCUGUGGAUGGGAACCAAAGCCACUGCUGGCACAUGUAUUCAGGGAGCAAGUUGCCAGUAUUUUCCUACAGCUUUUCUCGCAGAUGGUAGUCAUUUGCCCCCACUGCUGCUGCUGAUUUCCACGAGAUGGAGCUAUUCUAACAUGGUUUUGGUAGCAGUCCCCAGGAAAUAAGUAACUCUACUGUGUAUUUUAUUUUAUUUCCAUGACAACAUUUCUGAAGUGGGCAGGCUUUUAUGAAAAAUCAUCAUUCAAAAAAAGCAA